CAGAGUCACACGGUCCCAUCCUUCAGCACCUGGCCUCACCCCUCCUGUUCCAAAAGUCUCUGUCGUGUUUCUAGCAUGAUCUCCUCCAUUACUUCUGGCUUUAAGAUAUCUUUAAUCUGAAGGAAAACAGAAAAAGGCUCCUUGUGUGCAGAGAAACAGCUCCAUCCGAGAACACUGCCUGGACCUCCGCCUGCCCAGGUGAUGAAGGAACAACAGCAGCCAUGGCAACCCUCUCUGUCAUCUGCAUGCAUCCAGCUUGCCCUCCACCAACAGGCCACCCUGCCCAUCUUACAUGACCCCAGGGGACAUCACUAUGACCUCACCUCUCCCCUUGGUUGGCAAGGGUAUCUUGAUACAAUCUUUUCUACUCUCUGG